CCCCAAUAUCCUAAUAUAGUCUUUCGGACGAAACACCUACUUCAAUGUACUAAUAAAAAAUAACACACUAAAUUUCAAACACUGUUUUUGGGUAAAAAAAUCAGGAUGUAAUUUGAUCCCUACAAAUCUUCGUUACGGCGCUGUCUGAAUUGAAUUUCCUUAUCCUCUUACUCUAAAAAAACGGUCCUUUAAAUUCCUCGCGCGUUAUAUCUUCCAAAUCAAAAGCCCUUUCGAAAGCACGCUGCCACUAAUUGGCACUUAGAUACACUGACAAUUGUCAUCACAGAUUCACAGUUGGAAACAGAUUGAAUUAUUUACAACGAACUUUAUUCAGAAGGGCUAGGACUGGACAAGACA